rnacentral:rRNA from 1 species
GAAGUCUGAUGGAGCAACGCCGCGUGAGUGAUGAAGGUUUUCGGAUCGUAAAACUCUGUUGUAAGGGAAGAACCAGUACGUCAGGCAAUGGACGUACCUUGACGGUACCUUAUUAGAAAGCCACGGCUAACUUCGUGCCAGCAGCCGCGGUAAUACGAAGGGGGCUAGCGUUGUUCGGAAUCACUGGGCGUAAAGCGCACGUAGGCGGAUUGUUAAGUCAGGGGUGAAAGCCUGGAGCUCAACUCCAGAACUGCCCUUGAUACUGGCAAUCUCGAGUCCGGAAGAGGUAAGUGGAACUGCGAGUGUAGAGGUGAAAUUCGUAGAUAUUCGCAAGAACACCAGUGGCGAAGGCGGCUUACUGGUCCGGUACUGACGCUGAGGUGCGAAAGCGUGGGGAGCAAACA